GAGGUACAGAAACACUUCCUGAUGUUACUUAGUAUUUCUUUAUUUUAAGACAUGUUUUAGCAGAAUCAUAGACACUUUACACCAGUGUGGCCAUUUUAGGAAGAUUAUUAGAAUAUGUAAGUUUCAGUUUAACUGAAAAUAGAUUACUGAGUUUUAAUGUUAACCUUUAGGGUUUAAUUUUUGGAGGAACAAAGGGGAAUGAAUGCUGAGCACUAUCCCAUCAUUCUUCAGGAUCUACAGCAGCUGGUGUAGUUUUAUCACAAGCAUGAAAUCAGUGUAAGACCUCAAACACCAGUUUACUCCGAAUGCACUGAAAAAGCACACAAGCUUGACAGGCUUUCAGAACUGGUCAAUCAGUGAUCAGCACAAAAAUGGAUAGAAAACAGCACGUGCACAGAGGGGGUAUGGAGGCCAGACUUUAUCAGAACUCUUACUGAGAGGAAGGCCACUGUUUCAUGCAUGUGGUCACAAUGCAACAAAGGAUGACUGACCUCUUAGUUCCCCAGGGCUAAAAUUCAGCAGCAGAAAGCAAUCCGCUACAGUAAAGCAAAACUGCAAAAACAAAUCUUGGCAUCUACCCAACAUUAUUCUGAUAAUUCAUACAUUUAACUCAGGAAUCAUUAAGAAACAGAUAAACUGUUUGACUAGAGAGCUCUUAAUGUUAUUGUCUUGCACUGUAACAUCCUCUGAAAGAGUAACAAAAUCAUAGUUUAUGUAAUGAGUCAUCCUUUAAGCUCAGCUUUUGUUUUAACCCAACUUAAGUCUCUAUGAUGACUGGAAUACUACGAGUCCCAGGUUCCAGCCAUGCGUUAUCUCCACUAAGCUGUUAUUUUCCACAUAACAACAUGGCAGACGCUAUCGGUUGAGGUCUUCACCGAAAAACAGUGCAUUAGUCAAGAGAUCUGGAUUUUUUUGACUGGCAAUCAAAACUGGCCCUUAACCUCCCAAUGAGUGGAAAACAAACUAGAGAAUUUCCCUUUGCAACAAGCCAUGAAGCAAGAAGCCAUGAAGCAAUGCUGUCUCAGCGCAUCGUCUUGGAGGCCUCAGUUAGGUGGAUGGUUUCCAUCUUCCCUGCUAAACUUUCACAUCUUAGAUUCCUGCACCCUGAAAGCAGAAAAUUGCAACAGCCCUCUCUGCCAGCACUGGAGCUUGGCCACUGCAGCUUGAAAUAUACAGCUCCAGGACGGCCUGGCUGACUUCAUCCGGACACAAAGGGAACGUCAUGUUCUACUGAACCCUGUGAAAGAAUCUUUCUAUUCCAAAGAAGAAUCAGGCCAACAAACCAUAAACAAUAUAAAGAACUUUUAUUUUCUUUUCAUUUUUUGGCUGUGUAAAGUUUCAUUAUUACACUCACAGCUUCGUACCAAAAUGAAAGAGGAAAAGCAAGGUCAAUCUGUGCAAGUGUUCUACAUAGCUUAAGUCAUUAAAUACUCAACCAUGUUUUAUUCCACUUUUUCAUAUUCACAGCAAAAUGAGAUUUGAGAAGCUGGCAGGUGCAUAUGAUAGAAUAUAUACCUACACAGUUUGCUCUUUACUUUCACCAUUAAAUAUUUUACAAUUAGCAGCUGAGACCGUUUCCUUAUCCUUCCUCAUACAUUCUGCAAUUCCGGACAACUUAAGACUAUGUUUGAAUGAUAGUACCAUAAAAGCUUGAAAACCAAGAUUUAUCCGUACCUAAAUUUUAAUUUAAAAGAAGGAAAAAAAAUCUUUCCAGCACCAUUUUUUUGUUUCUGGGAACCUACAGUUUAUUGUGAGCUUUUACCAUGAUUUAGCACAACUGCAUGGUUUGUAAGUGUGGUGUAAGACCCGCGCUACUUCAGCACAGCACAGAGCUGAACUGCUUAGAAAGUCCACAACCCACACACCUUAAUCAAGACAAGCAGAAGCUGGGGUAUGUAAUGCAAUCUUCAUACCAACAGAUGCAAGUUUUCCCUCUGGCCCCUUCCAGACAGGGAAGCAACAGCACUGGGCCAUGCAGCGCUGCACUGUCAGCUGUUAUUUUUCCUGUGAUUCGAAGGAAAAUGGAACAAAUAAUACAGACCAGUCUUAGCAUUGUUUUUUGAUUCAACACGUGAGGAUGUCAGAUAAAGUUAAGCUUCAUGGCACGUUUGAACUUUCAAAGUGAUUAUUUUAUGCUACUCGCACUCUUCUUUUUGAGCUUGGGUAGGGCUUAAUAUAAGCACACCGCAACACGUUCUCCCACUUUUUGAAGAAAAUGAUAUAUAACCGGUUUCAGUAAAGCCUCUCCCAUUCUCCGUAUUACAAAAAACUACAAUAGCCCUGAGCACUUCAUGCCCACUGAGGACUUGCACAUGAUGAUAGGACUUACAUACUGAUGCUGAAUAAGCAGCAUCAGUACUGCUAAGAAGAGAAUGGUGGCUUCCACCCCAAAAGGGACUGCCAUAUUCAGUCAGCAUUCAGCAAGUCCAGAGCUCAUGAUCUAACAUUUGACUAAUGAAAUAAAACAGCUAACCAUAAAAAUCAACCCUCACUCUAACUCUUCCACACCCACAACUCUUUAAUUACAUAAAAACCAAACCCAAAACAAAAACAGUCCUGAACACAGGCUUCAGAUGUGUAGUGCUGCUUUUCAUGCAAAAAUUACCCCACUCACGUUUCACAGAUAGUCCCCUUCCUGAGACUACUUCACUCUCUGACCAGAGGUAGAUCACAAGUGAGAACCCUCAGUUGCAAACCUGGAGAGGAUCUCAAUGGCUGCCAACCUAACACACCAAUGUACCAUUGCUCUUCCGCAACCACAUGUGGAGGAAACAAACAGCCGUUAAUGGAAGCUGCAUUCCUCACAGAAGUCCAAAUAAUUCUGUGGAAUUUCAUAUCUGCACAACUUCAUAGCAAAUCCUGUUAAGACCUCACGACAAAGCAGCACAAUAUUUCCUCUGAGCCCUUAAGCAAUAUACGUACAUUUUUUUUUUUUUUCCACAUACAAAGCAAAACUGAUAAACACUCACGAAGCUCUGCUACUAUCCUGUCCCUUACCCAUUUUAACGUUCUGAGAAUGGAUCUGAAACAGCAGAAGUAGCAAAAGAUACCACUGCUAAAGCUGGACUUCAGAAGUCCAAAAUUUUGGAUCAGACUGUUUUUAAGGACAGAGAAGGAAAUAAAAAUAUCACUGACCGCAAGAAAAGGAAGUCUCCCUUUUACACCACCUAGAAAAGAUCCACACAGUAACUAACCAGGAAUGCAAAUAAAGUUUAAUAACUGUCUUUGUUGCAACAUCUAGUGAGAAAGAUCUCUGCAUGUUCCUGAAACCAGUCAUCAGCUGAGAGAAUAAGAAUCACUAAGUAUCACAAUCUAUUCUCACACAUGAUGUUUAGUGAUAGAACAACUCCACAUGCUUGCCCUCAGAACACAGAGUUCCACACCAUCACUCCAAUCACAACCUAUGAAGAACAGCUCAAAAAAGUCAAAAUUGCUUCCUUCCACACUCCUACAUCUCCCUCACUGUGGUACAAAAAACCCACCUCUUUAAUAUCAAUAAUGGUGGAAAUGGUUUAAGUCAUAUGAAUCCCCUACUUAUAAAAAAAAACACCAAUAAAAAAAAUCUCAAAACAAAUACUCUUAGAGAUUCCAGAGCAAUAAAGCAGAAAACAACCCAUCCCCACCCCAGAAACACACAACUCUCAAAGCUGCCUUGAGUCUAAGUCACAUAUUGCUUUUAUUUCUCCCAUCUACAAACAUCUUAAUGAAAAUAAUGAAAACAAACAGCAACAAAAAAACCACCUCCAAAAAAACCACCCAAAAAACUACAAGAGCAUUGGAACUUCAAGAAUUCCUACAUUAGAAGUAGGAUUCUAUUGUACACCAUUCCUAUUUCACUCCUGUCUUCCUCAAGAAAAAACAAUGUCAAGCAAAUACAGAGGAAUUAUGCUUGUGCA
ensembl:lncRNA